UUCGUUGAGUAUGGUCAAGUUUCCGAGUUUGCAGUUUGCUUAUUUUAUAUAUUCAACUUUAUUGGAAUAAAGCAGUCAAGCGACGGCGAACGCCCAAACAUAAUGGAAAGUGACAUUCACUCAAGCAGUCAAAGCCUUAUACUUAGGCUUAGGAAAACGCCAACAAUCCCAAUGUACCUAAAAUUGGCCGCCGAACCACAAUUCAUGAGCGAUGCGUUGCAAAACAAUAAAAAUGAUGCAAUUACCAUGGGGAAGUUAAAGUCUAUUAUUAUAUAAUUUGCUCAAUAUGUUAAGCGGAGAAACCACGAUGAUGAGCACCAAUUCUAUUCCGCAUUGUUUUCACAGUAGUGAUGUAGCCACUGAUGCUAUUUGAAGGACAUAUUUCCAUCAUCAUGUAGGCGUUUUUUUUUCAGCACCCGAAGUGGCUCCUGAAUGGCUGCAACAUAGGUCGAUUUGUUUCAAUUGGUGAUUGUUCACAGAUUUCUUUGUGAAUAACGGUAUUUGCAGAUAUACCUAACCUUCGACAGCGCACAACAAAAAAUUAUGAAUAAAAUAUUCAAACAAAUGUGAGAAUGCAUCACUACUAUUGGGAUCGUUUCGGAAAAGUAAAGUAAAAACAUUGAACGUAGAAAAAUUUAAAAAACCAUCUCACGUGGA